CCAUCUAGGAAAUGUAACUCUCAGACAGUUCCAGCAUCCACUGGGCACAAACCACCAAAAGAAAAUAAACAACCUUGGAGCUGCGACACUGGAAAUCCACAGGAAACAGACUCACCCAACGGCAGGUAACUCCUGUAUAUGGUCUGCCUGAGACGGUACCCACCACUACAUCCAUUAUAUUUUUUUAAACCAACCAAACCAUGCCUUGAUGGCCUGAUGGAAGAAGCAGGGCUCAUCAGUCUAACAGCUGUACAAGAGGGAGACCCACAGCUUGCUGCCACCACAUUCCCCAGAAGAGGCUCUUUGGAGGAAAUGAGGAAACUCCAGGUAAUAACAUUCUUGGCUGGAAAAAAUUCCAGUCGUCUGCAUCGCUGGUAUGGAAGCUGAUCUCAGAGGGUGGAAGCAGCUUCCCAAGCUCAUACUUGAGUUGUUCAUGAGGAAAAUCAUAUUUUCCUGUACACCACACCCUCUUUCUCCCAAGCCAAUUCCAGUGGGACAAGUGACAAUGUCACAAUGAAGGACAUGGACUGUGGCUUUGCAGACUUCCCUGUGCAGAUGAUGAGCAGCUCCAUGCGUUCCUAACCACAUGCACUCCCUCCGAGUCUUGAACAGAUACAGGACACACCCCGAGUGCAUCUUGGCCCCUUAUUCCUGUGCCAUCAUGUAGGGGGCCUUGAAUUGAUCAGGAGGACAGGAAGUGACACCAGUUUAGACAGGAGGUCUAUUUCUUCAACAAGAUGCACUGCUCCUUUUAAAUGUCAGAAAAGCAAAGCUAUCCUGAUAAUAUUUAUUCAGCAGACAAAAGAAAGUGAAGCCAGCCUUGCUGAGGGGAAAAAAAAAACAGUUCCACGAAAUCACAGUCAGAUGUCUGGACGUGGCUGCCCAGUGCAGAGCAACCCUGCCUCAGGCUGGGGCCUGAU
rnacentral:lncRNA from 1 species